rnacentral:snRNA from 1 species
AGCUUUGUGCAGUGGCAGUAUCGUAGCCAAUGAGGUUUAUUUGAGGCGCGAUUAUUGCUAAUUGAAAACUUAAUAUUUUUCAAUCC